rnacentral:rRNA from 1 species
AUUGAACGCUGGCGGCAGGCCUAACACAUGCAAGUCGAGCGAGCGGCGGACGGGUGAGAAAUGUAUGGGGACUGCCCGAUAGAGGGGGAUAACUACUGGGAAAGGUAGCUCAUAACGCAUACUAUCGGAUAACCCAUAUGGGGUUAGCUAGUAGGGGAGGUAAUGGCUCACCUAGGCGCGAAUCCCCAGCUGGUCGGAGAGGAUGAACAGCCACACUGGGACUGAGACACGGCCCAGACUCCUACGGAGGCAGCAGUGGGGAAUAUUGCACAAUGGGCGCAAGCCUGAUGCAGCCAUGCCGCGUGUAUGAAGAAGGCCCUAGGGUUGUAAAGUACUUUCAGUCGGGAGGCGUUACCGACAGAAGAAGCACCGGCUAACUCCGUGCCAGCAGCCGCGGUAAUUC